UGACAUUACUAAAGCUGCAGAAGCUGCACUAAAGUUGGAGCAUGAAAGAUUAAAAAAGUUGGAAGACUUGGAUGAAGGAAACAAGGCAUUAGGAUUGAAUGUAAAUAAGGAGGUUUCUACUGGUGUGAAAAAGUUAUUGAGGGAAUCGUCUGGCUAGUACAGCGACUUCAGUAUUCUUUCCUCUUUAAAUUCUCAGGUAAAUCAUGUAACUUACUGUUUGUUUAGUAGGAUAUAUGUUUUUAUAUAUAUCUAUAAUAUUUUAGGUGAAAAUUUAUGAUCUUUAAGAAAGUGUUAGAUGGCACUAGAUGCAUUAGAUCAAUCCAUAUGUGUUGUUUUAGGUUCAGAUCACUUCCAGGACUUGUCAACCAAACCCAAAGGGAUAUCAUAGAAUGUAAUGUCUGCUUUUAUUAGCCUUUUCAUUCUUCCUUUUUAUA